ensembl:snRNA U2 U2 spliceosomal RNA
AAAACUUUUCCAAAAUAAAGAAAAUCUGUUCUUAUCAGUUUAAUAUCUGAUACGUCCCCUAUCUGGGGACCAUAUAUUAAAUUGAUUUUUGGAAUAGGGAGAUGGAAUAGGGGCUUGCUCCGUCCACUCCACGCAUCGACCUGGUAUUGCAGUACCUCCAGGAACGGUGCACCCCCU